rnacentral:rRNA from 1 species
CCUACGGGAGGCAGCAGUGGGGAAUAUUGGGCAAUGGAGGCAACUCUGACCCAGCCAUGCCGCGUGAAUGAAGAAGGUCUCCGGAUUGUAAAGUUCUUUAUCAGGGACGAAGAAGAUGACGGUACCUGAGGAAUAAGCCACGGCAAACUAUGUGCCAGCAGCCGCGGUAAUACAUGGGUGGCCAGCGGUGUCCGGAAUGACUGGGCGUAAAGGGAGCGUAGGUGGUCGGGUAAGUUGGAAGGGAAAUCCCGGGGCUCAAACCCGGGCCUGCUUUCAAGACUGACGGACUAGAGAGUAAGAGGAGUAAGCGGAAUUCCCAGUGUAGCGGUGGAAUGCGUAGAUAUUAGGAGGAACACCAGUGGCGAAGGCGGCUUACUGGAUUAUAACUGACGCUGAGGCACGAAAGCGUGGGUAGCAAACAGGAUUAGAUACCCUAGUAGUC